UACGGAGGGGACUAGCGUUGUUCGGAAUUACUGGGCGUAAAGCGCACGUAGGCGGAUUUGUAAGUCAGGGGUGAAAUCCCGGGGCUCAACCUCGGAACUGCCUUUGAUACUGCAAAUCUCGAGUCCGGAAGAGGUGAGUGGAAUUCCUAGUGUAGAGGUGAAAUUCGUAGAUAUUAGGAAGAACACCAGGUGGCGAAGGCGGCUCACUGGUCCGGUACUGACGCUGAGGUGCGAAAGCGUGGGGAGCAAACAGG
rnacentral:rRNA from 1 species